ensembl:lncRNA
AUGGGGGUCUAUAGGGGUCUAUGGGGGUCAAUGGCACCCAUAGUGGGUGCUGACCCCCCUUCCUCUCCCAUGGGUGCAGCCAAUGGGGCCCAGGGGCUGCCUGGGCCUGGCCAGAGGCUUCCUCUUCCUCUUCAACAGCGCGGCCGCGGUGAGCACCCAUGGGUGCUAUGGGGUCAAUGGGUGCUAUGGGGGGGCUAUGGGUCAAUGGGGGUCAAUGGGUGCUAUGGGGGGGCUAUGGGUCAAUGGGGGUCAAUGGGUGCUAUGGGAUGCUAUUGGGGGUGCUAUAGGGUGCUGUGGGUGCUAUGGGGGUUAAUGGGUGCUAUGGGGUGCUUUGGGGGUGCUAUGGGGGGGCUGUGGGUGCUGUGGAUGCUAUGGGGGGGCUGUGAGUGCUAUAGGGUGCUAUGGGGGUUAAUGGGUGCUAUGGGGUGCUUUGGGGGUGCUAUGGGGGGGCUGUGGGUGCUAUGGGGUGCUUUGGGGGUGCUAUGGGGGGGCUGUGAGUGCUAUAGGGUGCUAUGGGGGUUAAUGGGUGCUAUGGAUGCUAUGGGGUGCUAUUGCGGUGCUAUGCGGUGCUAUGGGGUCAAUGGGGGCUAUUGGUGCUUUGGGGUGCUGGGGGUGCUAUGGGGUAAACGGGUGCUAUGGGGUGCUCUGGGGUCAAUGGAUGCUAUGGGUGCUAUGGGUUCUAUGGGGUCAAUGGGUGUUGUGGGGGUCAAUGGGUGCUAUGGGUCUCUAUGGGUGCUAUGGGGUCAAUGGGUGCUAUGGAUCUCUAUGGGUGCUCUGUUUUGCCCCCCCCAGCUUUUAGGGUCUCUCCUCGUGGCCUUUGGCCUCUGGGCCCUCCUUGACCGCUGGAGCCUCAGCUGGGUGCUGGGCUCCCCAUUGCUGGCGCUCCGGGGCUGGGCCUGGCUCUGCUUGGGGGUCGGAGGCUGCACCGUGACCUUGGGGGCCCUGGGGGGCAUCGGGGCCCUGCGGGGGGGCAGGGUCCUGCUGGGGCUGGUGAGUGGGGGGGCAGGGGGGAGGGGGGGCAGUUAUGGGGCUGGGGGGGGAGGGGCACGUGUGGGGCCAGCCCCAUAUGUUCUCCUGCCCCCCAAGUACUUCGGGGUCCUGCUGCUGCUCUUCACUGCCCAGAUCACUGUGGGGGUCAUUGCCUACACCCAGCGCGUCCAUGUGAGUGCGGUGGGGCUGCGCUAUGGGGUAAGGUUGUGGGGCUGGGCUAUGCUAUGGGGCUGGGUUAUGGGGCAGGGCAAUGGGGCUGGGUUAUGCUAUGGGGCUGUGAUAUGGGGCGCGGUUAUGGGGUGGGCAAUGGGGCUGGGCUAUGGGGCAGGGCAAUGGGGCUGGGUUAUGCUAUGGGGCUGGGUUAUGGGGCAGGGCAAUGGGGCUGGGUUAUGCUAUGGGGCAGGGUUAUGGGGCUGGGUUAUGGGGUGGGCAAUGGGGCAGGGCUCCCUCUGCCCCCCAGGUGUUCUCCAAGAUGGCGGCGCACGCGCGGGACCUGAUCCGGGGGUACCCGGCCCAGGGACCCCCAGGGGAGCCCCACGAGGCCUGGGACCUUGUCCAGCAACAGCUCCAUUGCUGUGGCUGGGCUGGGCCCCAGGACUGGAGCCCCCGUGGGGCCGUCGCCUGCUCCUGCCUGGUCCCCAACAGCACCCGAGGGACCCUCCCGCGCCUGCCCCAUGGCCGCUGCCCCAUGGCUGCACCGCAGGACCUGUUCCCUAUGGGCUGUGCCGAGCGCUCCCGGCUGUGGCUGGCCCAGAACCUGCCCUCAGUGCUCGGGGGCAGCCUUGGCUGUGGCCUCGUGGAGCUGCUGCUGCUCCUGCUCUCCAUGUUCCUCAUCCGGAACCUGGACCCAGACGAGCCCCCGAUGGCGCCGUGAGCUCCGCCCCUUCCCCUCCUUCAGCCAAUAAAACACCAGGACCCGGCAGCGCCAACCAAUGAGAGCGGGGAAGGGGCGGGGCCACGCCCCCUUCCAGCACAGGGCCCGGCUUGGGGCCAGUCCCAAAGGGCCACGCCCCUUCCCUCCGAAGACCACGCCCCUCUGCGCUGUGAUUGGCUCAACCCCUCCGAGCGGGAACAGCUCCCGCGUGGCCCCGCCCCUUUUACCUCAGACCUCCCCCUUGGCCACGCCCCUCUGCGUUGUGAUUGGCUCAGCCCCUCUUGGGCGGGAACUCCUCGCUCUGAGCCCCGCCCCUUUCACCUCAGGACUCCUCUUGGCCCCGCCCCUCCCUUCAGAUCCAGGCUUCUGAUUGGCUCAGCCCCCGCGGGUGGCACCGCUGAGCCCC